rnacentral:rRNA from 1 species
AUGAGGGAAGUAGUCCCUCUUCCUCUGUCCCAGGCCCCUCACUCUGUUUCUUGGAGCCUUUCUCCUUCGGGUGAAUUCUCCGUUAGUUUGGCCUAUCAGGCACUAUGCCGAUUGCCGGUUCUACAGUGGCUAUCCCCAUUGUGGAAGGCGCCGAUGCCCUUGAAGAUUAAGAUUUUCGUAUGGCAGCUUCUCCGAGAUCGUCUACCUUCGGGGACCGAGGUGCUGAAACGCCAGGGUCCGGGCAAUGGCCUUUGCCCUCUGUGCCACGUCCCGGAAAUGGGAACGCACAUUUUGUUCUCGUGCGUAGCAGCGCAGGCACUUUGGUGCUUUGUUUGUGAGGCUCUAGGACCGGAGUGGGAGGCCCUUGACCUUGCAGAGUUUCUGCAGGUUAGGGCCACUCAGGUUGGCCGUAAGCGCCGACUGUUCUGGCUCAUCUUCGCGGCUAUGAUGUGGACUCUUUGGACUACUCACAACAAGAUGGUGAUUGAGUGGGUGUUCCCGCGACGUGCUUCUGACUCGUUCUUCAAAUUUCUUGCCUUCUUGCAGCACUGGCAUCCGCUCGCUAGGCCGAGGGCAGACUGA